GUAGCAAAAGCAUACUUGGAAGGAGUGGAUAUAAAACUCCUCCUAUGAUUCUUAUCUAUUUAUAUCCUCUCAUCUCAUUCCUUCUUAUCUGUGAAAGCCUCAAGAAGAAGAAGGUGAAGAUAGAAGGGGCUCUAAGCUAGGUCACAAAGAGGGUGCAUACGACCUUAUCAUGCACCACAGAUAGUUGAAGCUGCCAGCAUGAUCUGAGCUUUCCUUAUCAUAGGAAAAAAUAGAUCAUAUGGCAGCUUCACCCGUCAAUGGGAGCAUGGAAAACCCUAAUCACCACAAACUCUAAUUCCAUCUCUUCUAAUCCCAAUUUUCAACAAACCUAUUAUGUUUUUCUCUUCAUUGCAAAAACCCUACAAGAAAGUGAACAUGGAUACCUCUAUUUGGUUUUUGGCUAAUCUGGGCAUCCCAAGAUUUACUUUCUCUCUCUACCCCCUUCCAUAUUCAUGUUUCCUUUUCUCUCUCUUUCUCUCUCUCUCUAUAUAUAUAGUAUUUUGGUGGUGUUAUUGUUGUGUUCUUCUUUUGUGUGUCAAAGUAAUGUUAUGCAGAGAAUCUUAGAAGCAGGCGAGGGAUGUUGUUAGGGUUUUAAGUGACAGAAAUUCUGUCCUAAUGUGGUUGGUGCUUUUGAGAUCCCUCCUCGUGCCUUUGGGGUUUUUGAUUUUUAUAUUCCCAAAUGUACUGUUUUUGUCAAUUUGUGCCAGGUUGUAUGCUUCCUUCUGUAUUCAUAUGUUUGAUCUAUUCAAAGCUAUAUGUGCAUUUCUUUUGUUGUUUUUCAUGAUUAUAUGUAUCCAUUGCCAACUGACCCCGUCAGGGUCGGCUCAAAUGAUAAGUCGCUCUGAUUCUAUUCAGGUGAUUUUAAAUUCGAGUCUUGAUAUCUUACUUUGUCCGAUAUAUGAGGCUUGCAGGUGGUCGCACUUAUUCUGAGUUUUGGCGCCUAUGGUGGAUCCAAAAGACUCUACUUAGGAUCAUUCUUGGUUAUCAAAAAAAUAACUAAAGCUUGAUUGUGUCCUCUCUUCUAUUUCCAUGGGUUUAAUUAUCAACUGAUACGUCAAAUUUUGGACUUUUAAUACUAAUAUUCGUUCAUAUAUCAACUGCUAUUGUUUGAUGAUAUCAACUUAGAUAAUAUUGCCGAUACCCUUUUUUAAAAUCAUUCUCACUCCACCCCCACCCACCACAUUUCUCUCUCUCUCUCUCUCUAACAUAUUUCUAGGUACCUUGGGAUGUCUCAUUUGGAAGAUAAUAACAUUCUAGAAGAACUGCAAGAAAUACAAAGAUCAUGACCAAACAUGGCAAUAAAUUGUCUCAUUUGGAACUUAGUACUAAAGCUGAUGAUCUGGGUAGAAAAUAAGAGGGACCCUUUUGAAACUUUUUAAAGAGAAACCACUGGAAUAAAAUUUUCUAAUUAUACAGAAAGAGACCAAAAAAAAAAAAAAAAGAGUGUUUUUGGAAAACAGAUUAAACAAUCUCUUCAA